rnacentral:tRNA from 1 species
UGGCAUAGUGGUUAAAGCACUUAGUUAUUAAUCAAAAGGUUGGUGGUUCGAAUCCACC